GCAAAGUGAAUCUACUCUGGUAUUUGUAAAGCAGGUUCAAAGUUACGAAUUCCCAACGUUACCAUAGCCCCAAAUCAGCAAAACCCAAUUUCAUUCAGUUGUCUCCCUCCACUCCCUCCCCUUCCUCCACGGUUAAGGGAAAGAAGAAUUUCUGGGAUUUGCACGAGGAGAUGAACUGUCAGUUGGGGAAGACCAAGAAGAAGUUUUCUUUAUCCAAAUCAAAGCACGCGGUAUCUAAUCAUGCAGGGAAGCCCAUGAGUAAGUCUGCAAUGAUUGGGUUGCCUGUUGAAGUUAAGACACCUGCCAUGAUUCGAGCUGAGGAGAUCCAGUCCAGUUUGGGAUGUGAAUUUCCUAGCUUUGUAAAACCAUUGGUUCGAUCGCAUGUUUCGAGAUGUUUUUGGAUGGGGCUUCCUGUUCCCUUCAGCAAGUCGCACCUACCUAAAAAGGAUACCUCAGUAAUUUUGGAAGAUGAAAGUGGGGAACAGUUUCAUGUGAAAUACAUUAGUUUCAAGUGAAAUACAUUCAAGGAAGGUGGGCACUUAGUGGCAAGUGGAGAAGCUUUGCAAUGGGACACAAAUUGCUUGAGGGUGAUGUCUUGAUCUUUCAGUUAGUUGAACCAAACAAAAUGAAGGGCCAAUGGUUUGACUGAGGUAGAUGGUGCUCUUAGCCUUCUUAACCUUGAUGCUCACGUCAAACAAGAUGAUACAGAAAAGGACGAUGCAGAUAACGGAACAAUAGCUCUGGAUAAUAAGAAGAGGAAGCGUCCAAUCUCUCUUCCACUUGCUAUAGUCAAGAAGGCAAGCCUCCAAAAAUCAGUUCCUAAACUCACAGAAUCCGUUGUGCAACUUGAAAAUGGUUGUGAAGAGG